UGCCAGCCGCCGCGGUAAUACGGAGGGUGCAAGCGUUGUUCGGAAUUACUGGGCGUAAAGCGCGCGUAGGCGGCUAUUUAAGUCAGAUGUGAAAGUCCACGGCUCAACCGUGGAAGUGCAUUUGAAACUGGGUAGCUUGAGUACUGGAGGGGGUGGUGGAAUUCCCGGUGUAGAGGUGAAAUUCGUAGAUAUCGGGAGGAAUACCGGUGGCGAAGGCGACUACCUGGGCCGAUAUUGACGCUGAGGCGCGAAGGCGUGGGUAGCGAACGGGAUUAGAUA
rnacentral:rRNA from 1 species